rnacentral:lncRNA from 1 species
CCUCCCGCCCACUGCCCACUCCGCCACACACUUUCCGCUGCCACCGAUGGAGAUCGGCCUCGUCGUCGCUCACCGGCCGUCUCUCCCGGUGGCGGCGGUACCGGCGCCGGCCUACCUCCGCCGCCGCCACCUUCCCGGCCUAAUCUCCCUCCCCCGCACCUCCCCCUCCCUGUUCUCCCCGCACCAUCAACGCCUCAGUCCCACGCCUCGCCAUGACCUCCUGCAGCCUCUCCGAGCCUCCCCAGCCCCUGAUUCUAGCCCCAAACCAGAGCCCCCCGCCGCCUCCGGUGCGAAGCUUGUGCCGCUCGUCAUCUCCAUCGCGGUCGGCCUCGCCGUGCGGUUCCUCGCGCCGCGGCCCGCCGAGGUGAGCCCCAACGCGUGGCAGAUG